AAUGAAAGAGACCACUGAACACUUACUAUUUACUUUUAAUGCUUUGUAGGCAUCUCUCAGUCCAACACUGGAUUCAGCGCCUCCCGAUGGUGACCUGAUUCUUCCUCCAGCCUAACAAGGCCUUUCAUCCACUCUUUCUUCCGCAAGGCCACAGCCAUCUCCCUGUUUGCUUGGAAGCUGCUGUUCAGCCUGUAAUGCAGGACCUGCCAAAGACAGAAGAAUCACUCUAUGAUGGAGGUGGGAAAACAAGAAAAAAAGAGAGAAUAAGAAAGAUGGAAAAAAGCAAAUAAUUUUAAGAAUUACUGCACCAGUUUUUAUUAUAUUUUCUUUGUACACUGCCUAAAUUUUUUUUUAUAUAAAGCGGAGAAGAAUCAAAUAAGUACAUAAACACUCAACUCCACAACUGUGUCUCUCUUUGCUGAUAAUUUACCUUCCCUCCUACUGAUGUUCUCUUUCCCACCCUCACCCCAUCUAACUAUAUGCACCUAAUCUUCCCCACCUACCUGGCCGAUUUUCUCAUCACCAC
rnacentral:lncRNA from 1 species